rnacentral:rRNA from 1 species
GACGAACGCUGGCGGCGUGCUUAACACAUGCAAGUCGAACGGAAAGGCCCUGCUUGUGUGGGGUGCUCGAGUGGCGAACGGGUGAGUAACACGUGAGUAACCUGCCCUUCACUUUGGGAUAACUUCAGGAAACUGGGGCUAAUACCGGACAGGAGCCCCUGCUGCAUGGUGGGGGUUGGAAAGUUUCGGCGGUUGGGGAUGGACUCGCGGCUGAUCAGCUUGUUGGUGGGGUAGUGGCUUACCAAGGCAUUGACGGGUAGCCGGCCUGAGAGGGUGACCGGCCACAAUGGGACUGCGGUACGGACCAGACUCGUACGGGAGGCAGAAGUGGGGAGUAUUGCACAAUGGGCGGGAGCCUGAUGAAGCAGCGCCGCGUUCGGGAUGACGGCCUUCGGGUUGUGAACCGCUUUCGCCUGUGACGACGCGGGAGUGACGGUAAUGGGUAAAGAAGCACCGGCUAACUACGUG